GAGUGAGUAUUAUAGGGCUAUUUUAAAAAAAGGAAAUAACCAGUUCCUUGGCGCUGGUGCUCCAGCUCGUUCUGUUACAGGAUUGUAUUCUGGCUUCACUUUCUGCUUCGUCAUCACCUCAACUCCCACUCUGAGAUUAAUUGCACAGCCCCUGGAGAUAGACGAUCUUCCACUUAAUCUCAGCCAAUGCAAUCUGGACAAGCUCAGGUUUGAUGCCUACAGCAACUGACAGCAGCCGGUGCCUUUUCCACAUCGCUGUGCAAAUGUGGAGUCGAGCUGCGGCUGCUCUUAUUGCACACGCACAUUAUGUUCUCUCUUGGAACUGUACCCACUCACAGCCUGCUUCAUGCUGAGCGGCCGCAUCUGGAGUGUCUACGGAGUCACAUCACAGCUGGGUGUCCAGACGUGCUUCAUAUAUCUAAUAGAAAAUCCAGGCUUUUAAAUGCAUUUUUAAGCAAAUUUCA